rnacentral:rRNA from 1 species
GUGAACGCUGGCGGUAGGCCUAACACAUGCAAGUCGAACGGGAGCACAGUAAGAGCUUGCUCUUACGGGUGGCGAGUGGCGGACGGGUGAGGAAUACAUCGGAAUCUACUUUUUCGUGGGGGAUAACGUAGGGAAACUUACGCUAAUACCGCAUACGACCUACGGGUGAAAGCAGGGGAUCUUCGGACCUUGCGCGAUUGAAUGAGCCGAUGUCGGAUUAGCUAGUUGGCGGGGUAAAGGCCCACCAAGGCGACGAUCCGUAGCUGGUCUGAGAGGAUGAUCAGCCACACUGGAACUGAGACACGGUCCAGACUCCUACGGGAGGCAGCAGUGGGGAAUAUUGGACAAUGGGCGCAAGCCUGAUCCAGCCAUACCGCGUGGGUGAAGAAGGCCUUCGGGUUGUAAAGCCCUUUUGUUGGAAAGAAAAGCAGCAGGUUAAUACCCCGCUGUUCUGACGGUACCCAAAGAAUAAGCACCGGCUAACUUCGUG